UAAUACGUGAGUGACCUGCCUUUGACUCUGGGAUAAGCCUGGGAAACUGGGUCUAAUACCGGAUGCGACUACUGCCCGCAUGGGCUGGUGGUGGAAAGGGUUAUGUACUGGUCUUAGAUGGGCUCACGGCCUAUCAGCUGGUUGGUGGGGUAAUGGCCUACCAAGGCGACGACGGGUAGCCGGCCUGAGAGGGUGACCGGCCACACUGGGACUGAGACACGGCCCAGACUCCUACGGGAGGCAGCAGUGGGGAAUAUUGCACAAUGGGCGCAAGCCUGAUGCAGCGACGCCGCGUGAGGGAUGACGGCCUUCGGGUUGUAAACCUCUUUCAGCAGGGAAGAAGCGGAAGUGACGGUACCUGCAGAAGAAGCGCCGGCUAACUACGUGCCAGCAGCCGCGGUAAUACGUAGGGCGCAAGCGUUGUCCGGAAUUAUUGGGCGUAAAGAGCUCGUAGGCGGCUUGUCGCGUCUGCUGUGAAAGCCCGGGGCUUAACUCCGGGUGUGCAGUGGGUACGGGCAGGCUAGAGUGCAGUAGGGGUAACUGGAAUUCCUGGUGUAGCGGUGAAAUGCGCAGAUAUCAGGAGGAACACCGAUGGCGAAGGCAGGUUACUGGGCUGUUUACUGACGCUGAGGAGCGAAAGCAUGGGGAGCGAACAGGAUUAGAUACCCUGGUAGUCCAUGCCGUAAACGUUGGGCACUAGGUGUGGGGGACAUUCCACGUUUUUCCGCGCCGUAGCUAACGCAUUAAGUGCCCCGCCUGGGGAGUACGGCCGCAAGGCUAAAACUCAAAGGAAUUGACGGGGGCCCGCACAAGCGGCGGAGCAUGCGGAUUAAUUCGAUGCAACGCGAAGAACCUUACCAAGGCUUGACAUAUACCGGAUCGUUCCAGAGAUGGUUCUUCCCUUUUGGGCUGGUGUACAGGUGGUGCAUGGUUGUCGUCAGCUCGUGUCGUGAGAUGUUGGGUUAAGUCCCGCAACGAGCGCAACCCUCGUUCUAUGUUGCCAGCACGUGAUGGUGGGGACUCAUAGGAGACUGCCGGGGUCAACUCGGAGGAAGGUGGGGAUGACGUCAAAUCAUCAUGCCCCUUAUGUCUUGGGCUUCACGCAUGCUACAAUGGCCGGUACAAUGGGUUGCGAUACUGUGAGGUGGAGCUAAUCCCAAAAAGCCGGUCUCAGUUCGGAUUGGGGUCUGCAACUCGACCCCAUGAAGUCGGAGUCGCUAGUAAUCGCAGAUCAGCAACGCUGCGGUGAAUACGUUCCCGGGCC
rnacentral:rRNA from 1 species